UGACCCGUCUUGAAACACGGACCAAGGAGUCUAGCGUGUGCGCGAGUCAUUGGGAUAUAACUAAACCUAAAGGCGUAAUGAAAGUAAAAGUUCGUCUUGCACGGACAGAGGGAAGACGGUGGACCUUUAACGAGGUCUACCUGCACUCCCGGGGCGUCUCGUUCUCAUUGCGAGAGGAGGCGCACCAAGAGCGUACACGCUGGGACCCGAAAGAUGGUGAACUAUGCCUGGUCAGGACGAAGUCAGGGGAAACCCUGAUGGAGGUCCGUAGCGAUUCUGACGUGCAAAUCGAUCGUCGGAACUGGGUAU
rnacentral:rRNA from 1 species